GAUGAACGCUAGCGGCAGGCUUAACACAUGCAAGUCGAGGGGCAGCAUAAUGGAUAGCAAUAUCUAUGGUGGCGACCGGCGCACGGGUGCGUAACGCGUAUGCAACCUACCUUUAACAGGGGGAUAACACUGAGAAAUUGGUACUAAUACCCCAUAAUAUCAUAGAAGGCAUCUUUUAUGGUUGAAAAUUCCGAUGGUUAGAGAUGGGCAUGCGUUGUAUUAGCUAGUUGGUGGGGUAACGGCUCACCAAGGCGACGAUACAUAGGGGGACGGAGAGGUUACCCCCCCACACUGGUACUGAGACACGGACCAGACUCCUACGGGAGGCAGCAGUAAGGAAGAUUGGUCAAUGGACGCAAGUCUGAACCAGCCAUGCCGCGUGCAGGAGGACGGCGCUAUGAAUGGUAAACUGCUUUUGUACGAGGGGAAACGCAGAUACGUGUAUCUGUCUGAAAGUAUCGGACGAAUAAGGACCGGCUAACUCCGUG
rnacentral:rRNA from 1 species